ACAUAACUAAACAUGGCCAUGCAAAAGAGAUGAAGGGGCUGCUGUUUAUGAGGCGCAUCGUAAUGGUUGCACCACUGGUUUGACCACCGUGGCGGGUUAACGUACCUCCACCACCAUUUCCAGUACGGCUGCCUGCACUACUGCCACCACCACCCCUUGCUCCACCUCCGCCGAUGCCAUCUCCGCCACUACCACCACUGCCGCCUCCAUCCCCUCCCGGAGCAACUGCAGAACUGAGGAGGAGGCAGAUGAUUGAAAGCACAAGAACAAAUUUUGCGUGUUGCAUCUAUUGUUUCUAUUCAACGUUAUCAAGAUUGGAAUUCCCUUAAGACGGGAAAUGGAACGUUCAAACUUAGAAUUAAUUACACUUGCAAGAAUAUUUCUUGUUUAUAAUUUAUUAUUUGAUAGUGUAGGUUUGUGCACACGUCUAAGCUUGCCCGAAUAAAAAAAGAAAAAAAAAGCACACGUAUAUGCCGUCUAACCGUCCAAAUUAAAAAGAAAUCAAGCCUACCAAUCGUCCAAAUUAAAAAAAGAAACCAAGAUAUUUAUAAUCGAAAAACUUCAAUGUCAUGAUUUCAUGAAGUUCUUAUGUGUCAAAGAUAAGAAAAAUAAUUAAUAUUACCAAAUAUCAUAUUUAGGAUUAUUUGAACUCAAGUUGAGAAAACACGAGGGGUGAGCAUAAAUGUGACCACUGAAAAAUCUGCGAAAAAUGCUAGGGCAUUCUCAUAGCCCUUACGUUGUUUAUUUAGCAAGCAAGUAGAGAAAAAUAUAAGCGUGAGAACAAAAACAUGCCAAAAUAAUGAAUUAGACAUGAUAUAUAUACAGCGAGAGUAAGAGGAGUAAUUGAAACAUCUGUGAAAUAAUGAGUUGACCAAAUAGGAUUGGACUACUGAUGGCUUUAGAAUUCUCAUUGGGAUCAGAGCAUAGGAGACAUGUUGGAGUAGUACUCCUCAUCAUAGUUGGACAAUGAUGAACUCGUACCAGAUUGGGGAUCAUUGAGAUGAAGUAGGAUAGUCCUAUAAGACGACAUGAAAUCGGGGUCCUUGACCCCAAGCUGAAGGCGUCCACCUCGAGGAUCAAGACAAAACCAGAAAUUGCAAUGCGUGUGUGGUCAAGACUAAGGUAUUCUAGUGGCCCUAUAAACUUGAGGCCAGGCUCGGGGUCAAGUGCCUUACAGCGAGUCGUUGGACGUGUAAGCAACACACACACGUACAACGGUCAAAUUAUUUGAAGAGAAGUGCAUUGUCACUUAGGAAUCAUGUAGUGUCAUAUAGUAAGGAGGCAUAAGGCUUGCGCCAUUGUGUUUAAACCUUGUAAAUACCCCGUCCCCAUUUUUAAUUUCCACCAAACCUUGAGAAGCAAAGAGCUCGAGCACUGAACCUAAGCUAAGAUCUUAGGCUCAUUUUUUAUUUAUUUCACAUAAGGCAUAUAGGUAAAGAUGAGGAGAGUAAAAUAACGAGGGUAGAAAGGUAGAGGUUAGCAACAGCCUUCGAGGCCUUGGACUCUAUUGAUGAGAGUAUAGAGAAGCUCAAGGUAAAUGACCAAAAAUGGAGAUGAGAUCAAGGACCCCGAAGUGAGCAAACAAGGAGGGGACGAGGAGAGGGAUGAGGUUGAGGUGUUGGAAUAUCAUGAAACUUUAAAUCUUAAUAACAUGAAAAGCUAAUUACUUAUUGCCAAGAUCCUCCAUGUUAAAUCUCCAAGAGCAUUAUAAAGUGCAAAACAUACCUUAAUUCAUUGGGAAUGUUUAUUUGAUACUGGAUCUUGAAUAUUGACUUUUUAGACUCUUGAGUUCUUGAUCUUGAUUUUACUUCUUGAUCCAUAUUCUUGAUUGUUGAAUUUCUUCUUCUUAAUUUUUUAUUGUGGAUCGCAUGUUUUUGAUUAUGGAUUUCGAAUCUUCUUCUUCAAUAUACUUUCUCUUCUAUUAUUGUAUUGAUGGGAUGACACAAAAAAUGAGAAGUUGUUGAAUUGAGAAACAUGAUCCUAUAUAUAGUUUUCAUAUUCAUUUUGCUCAUGAUGAAGUGCAAUUUUAAAGGAAUCCGCCUCUAUAUAUAUAUAAUUCGGCCCACACUUUGUUUAGAUGCUCUAGCCCAAAAAUUUAAUUUUUUACUAGAUCACUUGAAUUAUGGGUUUAACUUUAAGAUGACCUAUACACAAUUAAUUAUAUAUGUAGGCCCACAUGAAAAAUUAAAAUUUUCUCAAUAAUCUCUCACUUGGGCCACAUAUGUUACUUGAUAAAUUUGUAUAACCUUAUGACAUCAAAACUUUUGCUAUUAUAACCAAAAGCAUCUCCGAACAAUCUCAUCCAUCAAUUAUGUCAAAUAGGAUCAAUUUACAAGUUAACUACUUGGACUUAUUGACUAACAAUAGGCUAAAGAAUAGGAAAAUGAAUAAAAAACAAGUUAACUACUUGGAUUUAUUCACUAACAAAUCAAAACAAAUAAACAACUUAGAAACCAAUUCGACUAAGAUCCAGCAUGUGUGUGACCCUUAAAAUUAUUUGCACGGCUUCUUGUGUAGUGGCAUGUAUCAAUUUUGUUUGUCUAUAGCUAGUGUGGAGAAUUUAUUUUUGUUCAUACACGUUGAUAUUAGGGAUUUCACAAGGACAGAAUGCACAAAUAGAGAGUUCCUAACAUUAUUCUAUCAAUAUAAUGCAAGUGUUAUGCCCUAAGUCCAAUCAACCUUGGACAUAAAUACUUUUACUAUAUAAGUAAUGUAAUUUAAUGACAGAUCUAUUAUUUAAUUAAUAGACAAUUAAAUAAAAUAAUAGAGUCUGUAGAUUCAAAUCUUUGUAAUUUGUUAAUCACAAUGAGUUAUGAUUGUGAGAUACAAAUUACAUAUAAUUGAAUUUUAAAUCGUUUGUGAUCAUAACUAAUAAUGAGAUAUUGAUAUCAUUAUUACGGAUAGACCAUCACGUGUGACAUUCUUACUUAUGAAGUAAGUAGCUGAUCUCACAAGUUAAAGUGUGGUGACACUUAAAUGAACACGUGAAUAUUUUGUUAUAGAACAAAACAUUGGAGACCCGUCUAGAGAUUCCAUAUGAAUAACUAUUUGAGUGUCAGUGGUUAGUCUCUAACGUUCGGUAGUGGGAUUGGUCAUUUGACUUGAAGUCGUUAUAGUACCUUAUAUGAGGAUAGUCAUGCUUUGACGGUGUUGGAUGUUGCUCUGUCAAGAGCCAUUAAUACGGCAUCGUUCGGGUAUGUCAAGAAUCGUAUGAAGGUUGUGAAUGACCAAUAGAGGAUUCAUCACUUUUAGAUAGUAAGAGAUUAUGAUCUACAUUUCAUUCAAUUAAGUCGAUAACGAAAUCCUUGACCAAUGUGAUAUUGAAUUAAUAGUGGAGUGAAAGAUAUGAUUGAUAAUUGAGGUUGACACACUUCUAUAUUUCGUAAUUAAUCAGAUCAUAUUGACGAAUGGAUAAUAGUUUCACGGUAAACGAACGAGUUUGAUUUUGUCAAACCACGUGAUAUUUUUCGUCACAUGUAUUGCCCUAACACAUUGUUAGAUGUCAAUCUGGGACGGCGAGUAUGAAUUGGUGAUAAAUUAAAAGAGUGUUUUAAUUUAUCAAUUUUGAUUAGAUCAAAAUAAUAUUUCACGUCGUUAGGCAUCGUGAUCAGGAAUCUGAUGGGUCGCACAAAAAAGGAGAUCUGGAAGAUUGUGAUUUGUCAAUUAAUUAACUUAACAAGUGUUGAAUAAAUUAAUUAAUUGGGUUGCUUAUUUAUAGGUCUGAAUUGAUUAAUUGGAUUAAUUAAUUCACGAAUCAGAUUUAAUCAAAUGAGUUAAUUAAAUGUUGGAUCGGGUCAGGCCAAGCUCGUUUGAGCUUAUAUAUAUAUAUAUAUAUAUAUAUAUAUAUAUAUGUAUAUAUAUAUAUAUAUACAUGUAUAUAUAUGUAUAUAUAUAUAUAUGUAUGUAUAUAUAUAUAUAUGUAUAUAUAUAUGUAUAUAUAUGUAUAUAUAUGUAUAUACAUGUAUAUACAUGUAUAUAUAUAUAUAUAUAUGUAUAUACAUAUGUAUAUAGAUGUAUAUGUAUGUAUAUACAUAUAUAUACAUGUAUAUACAUGUAUAUAUAUGUAUAUACAUAUAUAUACAUCUAUAUACAUAUAUAUAUAUAUAUAUGUAUGUAUAUACAUAUAUAUAUAUGUAUAUACAUAUAUAUACAUGUAUAUAUUAGGGUUUUCAAAAUUGAAGUGAUUUUCGUUAUUCUUACUAGCACAAGAAAAAUUUCAAUACUACAAUCUUGUUCUCUGUGUGAAUCACCAUUGGAGAUUGGACAGUUGUGGGUGACAGAUCAAAGCUGCUGGAACAAGGAAAAAGCAAUGGAAUUUGUAGAUCUCGUAAAAUAUACAAUCUUUAUCACAGUUUUCUAUCUAAACAUAAAGACGAUUUUUGGUGGGAAUCGAAAAUUGUUUUAAAUUUUCCCUUCACACGUUAAGUAGAUUCUCAAUAGUGGUAUCAUAGUCUAUUUUGUGUUUGUUAGAAAUUGUUUUGCAUUAGUGAAUAGUCAAAAUUUGAUUGUUCAUACUUUUCUUGGAUCUAGCAAUUUAGAAAGUGAUGUUUCAUAUUCAAAAUCCGACUUUGAAAAAGAAAAUGGAUUUUUGGAAGAAGAAAGGAGGGGGGGGGGNUCUGAAUAUUUCCAGUAGCCACCGUCGACACUAGUGGCACAAAAGUGCUCGACAGUGUCGAGCACCUCUACUAUUGUAGCAGCAGUACCGACUGUCGGCGCUGUUGAUUGUGGCAGCGUGCGACGCUGCUGUUUCAGCAACGUCGCGCGCUGCUGUAUGACAACUGCUUGUAGCUGCUGCCUUAGUAACAGACUGUAUGACAGUGGCGACGAUCCGCUGCCAUAUCCAAAAGUUAUUCAUUUUUAUUAUUAUAUAUAUUUUUAGUCGGGUGAAAGGUUGGUUGGAGGCGAGGCUUCUACUGCAAUUAGCAUAAUUACGAGGGCCCGCCUGCAAUUAUAUUAUGGAUGGGGUCAAUUGUACAUAAAAGGGGACCCUUUUAUAAUUUGGGAUAUUGAAGGGCCCGUUAUGCUAUUUGCCGAAUUGGGAGGCCUCAUUUAUAAUUUUUAUAUUGGGUCAAAAUGCAAUUUGUUUUUGAAAGGGAUUUAAAUGCAAUUUUGAAAAGGUUUUAUGAACUAUUUUAAUGUUAAGAACAAUGGUUGUCCAUGCCUAUCUUGAUUAAAGAUCUUAAUGGUUGUGGUAAACUAUAAUAUAACAUUUAUAUUCUAAAUACUAAGCAUUCUAUAAUGAGUAUAGAAGUUAAGAGACAGAAAAGUGAUAAUUUGAAUAUUACCUAAAUCUACCAUGGGAGACUUUGUUAUAUAGAUGAAAUGCAAUUCCAAAGUUACAAAGAGAUGUAUACUUGGUGUCAAUUGAUUUUGACAAGUACGAAUUGUGCAUGUCUGACAUAAUGACCAAAUCUCUUUUUACUUGAAAAUGAGAAAGGUUUGCAUAAUUACUGGUCUAAUGCAUACUGUCGCGUAUGGACCCAUGUCAAAUUAUGUCAGGUGAAGUUUCUCUUAUUUCAUCAAAAUUACUAAUGACUAUUACAGAAAUAGUCAUAUAUGCUUGAUGAAAUCCAAGCGUGAAACUCUUGAAAGGUUCAAGGGAUUCAAACUUAAAGUAAAGAAACAAAUAGGUAGAGAUAUUCUCACAUCAAGAUCUGAUUGAGAUGAGAAUAUCUUAAAGAAUGAAAUUUUAGAUUAUCUGAAAGAGAAUGAGAUUUUCUUGUAGUGGACUCCUACAUAUACACUGUACCAGUGGUGUAUCGAAAAAGAUGAAUCAUUAACUAUUAGAUAUAGUGCGAUUAAAAACAAGCCAUGUAAAUUUCUCAAAAUCGUUUUGGGGUCAUGCACUAAUUGCAAUGUGUUACACACUAAAUCAUGUCACAUCUAAGUUGGUUAACACAAUUCCGUACGAGCUAUGGAAAGGCAAUAGUCCAAACUUAUCUCAUAUGAAAGUUUGGGACUCUAACGUUUAUUUGAAGUGCAUUGAAUCGGAUAAACUAGAGUAUAUAUAUUCGAUGAAUACAUAUUUGUGGGAUAUCCAAAACAAAUAUUUGGAUAUCAGUUCUAUUAUUCCAUUGAGAAGAAAGUCUUUGUCUCACGAUACGUCAUCUUCUUAGAGAAAAUAUUUACUCUAGGAGAGGAUAAUAGAGCAAAAUAGAACUUGAAAGAGUUCAAGAGUCCACAGACAUAGUUAACCAAGUAGAUGAAUUCGAGUUUGAUCCCAUAUCCGAUGUGGGGCAUACUCUUGAUCAAGAAGUAGAGACUUCUCAGGACAUGUUAGCUUUGUGUGAAUCCAGUAGGAUCAUUCGAUCUCCAAGAAUGUGCAAACCCAUGAUUACUAAACAUGUAUUAUUGAUCGAAGGUGAUGAACCUACUAAUUAUGCAGAAGCAGAGUCAAGUAUUGACUCAAGCAGAUGUCAGGAGGUCAUGAAAUUCAAAAUGAACUCAAUGUAUGAAAAAUAAGGUUUGAACCUUGGUCGACCCUCUUGAUGGAAUAAAACUCAUAUUUCAUAAAUAGUUUAUGAGAAAAAUGUCGAUGUGAACCGAAAUAUCCAUACCUACAAAGAAAGGCUAGUAACAACGGUCAAAUAUUGAUCUUGGUGAAACCUUUCUCUUGUAGCUUUGCUGAAAUCCAUUCAGAUUUUGGUUGCAACAGUUGCAUACCGUGACUAUGGGUUAAAACAUGUCUCUUAGAGUUGAAAUCUUCGGUUUGAUGGAAAAGUCAAAAUGUUUGAUUUUAUCAAAUUUGAAGACGAAUUGUAUGUUUGCAAAAAGAUAGUGGGAGCAUUAUCACAUUCCUGAUAUUAUAAGAAACGACAUCCAUAUGUUUCAAUCGUUGAAAUAAUGGUCGUUAUGUGAAACAAUCGUUGGUUUAAUAGCAAAAAUCUAAUACAUGAUUGCUUCAGAAGCUGCAAAAAGUGGCAAUGUUGAUUGAUCACAUGUUAUCGUAUUGUGCUAACAAUAGAGCUAUCGCGUAAGCGAAGGAAUUAAGGUCUCAUUUAUGAUCCAAACAUAUAUUAAUGCGACAUAAUCUCAUCAGAGAGAUAAUACAUGAAAAUGACUAAAGAGAAGAACGAAUUUCCACAUUUGACAAUAUUACAAAUCCACUGAGAAAGAGUUGUCGUAGCAUAAAAAUAGAUCAUCAUGUAGAUUUUUAUGAUAUUGGAUAUAUAAGUGAUUGAAUCUAGUGCAAGUAAGAGUUUGUAAGUGUUAUGCUCUAGGUCCAAUCAACCUUGGACAUAAAUACUUUUAAUAUAUAAUUAAUGCAAUUUAAUGACAAAUCUAUUAUUUAAUUAAUAGACAAUUAAAUUAAAUAAUAGAGUACGUAAAUUCAAAUCUUCGUAAUUUGUUAAUCACAAGGAGUUGUGAUUGUGAGAUACAAAUUACAUAUGAUUGAAUCUUAAAUCAUUCGCGGUCGUAAGUAAUAAUGAGAUACGGAUAUCGUUAUUACGGAUAAACCAUCAUGUGUGACAUUUCUUACUUGUGAACUAAGUAGCUGAUUUCACAAGCUAAAAUGUGGUACACUUGAAUGAACACGUGGAUGUUUUGUUAUAGAACAAAGCAUUGGAGGCCCGCCUAGAGAUUCCACAUGGAUAAUUAUCUGAGUGUCAGUGGUUAAUCUUUAACGUUCGGUAGUGAGAUUGGUCCUUUGACUUGAGGUUGUUAUAGUAUCUUAUAUGAGGACAAUCAUACUUUGAUGGUGUUGGAUGGUGUUGGAUGUUACUCUGCCAAGGGCCGCUAAUACGACAUCGUUCAGGUAUGUCAAAAAUCAUAUGAAGGUUAUGAAUGACCAAUAGAUGAUUCGUCACUCUUAGAUAGUGAGAGAUUAUGAUCUGCAUUUCAUUCAAUUAAGUCGAUAACGAAAUUCUUGGCCAAGAUGAUAUUGACUUAAUAGUGGAGUGAAAGAUAUGAUCGAUAAUCGAGAUUGACACACUUUCAUAUCUUGUAAUUGAUCGGAUCAUAUUGACGAAGGGAUAAUAAUUUCACGGUAAACGAAAAAGUUUGGUUUUGUUAUACCACGUGACAUUUUUCGUCACAUGUAUUGUUCUGACAUAUUGCUAGAUGUCAAUCUGGGACGGCGAGUGUGAAUUGGCGAUAAAUUAAAAGGGUGUUUUAAUUUAUAGUUUUGAUUAUAUCAAAAUAAUAUUUCACGUAAUUAGACAUUGUGAUCGGGAACCUGAUAGGUCGCACACAAAAGGAGAAUUGGAAGAUUAUGAUUUGUCAAUUAAUUAAUUUAACAAGUGUUGGAUAAAUUGAUUAAUUGGGUUGCUUAUUUAUAGGCCUGAAUUGAUUGAUUGGAUUAAUUAAUUCACGGACCGAAUUUAAUUAAAUGGGUUAAUUAAAUGUUGAACCGGAUCAGGCCAAACCCGUUUGGGCUUAUAUAUAUAUAUUUCAAAAUUGAAGUGAUUUUCAGUAUUCUUGCUAGCACAAGAAAAUCCCUAAUACUACAAUUUUGUUCUAUGUGUGGAUCACUGUUGGAGAUUGGACAAUUAUGAGUGGCAAAUCAAAGCUUCUGGAACAAGGAAAAAAGCAAAGGAAAUUGCAAAUCUCGUAAACGGUACAAUCUUUACAAUUUCUAUCUAAACACAAAGACGAUUUUUUGUGGAAAUUGAAAAUUAUUUUAAAUUUUCGCUGCGCACGUUAAGUAGAUUCUCAACAUAUAAUACCUACUAAAUUCCUGUGUCCGAGAAAAUUCUUAUACCUUUCUCUCUGCAAUAUGCAAACCUCAAAUUCAGGCUUUCCUAUAAUAUGCUAACCUCCAAUUGAGGUUGGUCAAAAAUUUGAUGUGGUGGGAUUUGGGGACUAGUUUUGUUGAUGGUAUUUCGAUUUGUAUGGUGGCGACUGCCUUUGGAUGGCAGUGCUGGCAUUGUGUGGGUGGUUGUGGCGACCGAUUGUUGGGCGAUGGUGCUGACCAUUGAUGUGGUGGGAGUGGGAAAGUAGAAGGUGCUAAUCACUGGCCUUUCCAUUUUUCAUGUGGNNNNGUAGAUUUCUUCUUCUUCUUCUUCCUUUUUCUUUUUCAUUUUUUGUUUUUUGUUUUUGUUUUUUUUUUUUUUUAUUAAGCAUUUAUUUGGUGAGAUUAAAAUAAGAUUUUUAGUAAAUUUUGAUAAAAGUUAAUAAAAUGUAUGGUUGAAAAAUUAAGAAUCCUAUAAAAUGCGUGGUUAAUAUUAAUUAUUAACUUUGAAUUAGAUUAAAAUCUUGAUUUUUAAUUGCUAUGAAACAAGGGCUUGGUUAUUUUAUGUUAAAAAUGUAAGGUUAUAAUUUUGUUCUUCUAAAAUUAGUAAAAUUGUGGUCAAGAUCGAUUCUUUGGUCAACGAAUGGUCAUUUGGACCACUGCUGCUAAGUUCUCGAAGUUUUGAGACCUCCGCUGAUAAAAUUAAAGGUUAGAGUAAAUUCUACAAAAAAAAAAAAAAAAUGAAAGAUUAGAAAUCGUUGUUGCAAUUUUCCCAAAAUGCAAUGUCGUGUUUUCAUGGAUUUCUUAUCUGUCAAAGAUAAGAAAAAUAAUAAUAGUAGCCGAUCAUUUUAAAAUUUAUUAUUUUUCGAUUUCCAUGUUACUAACGUGGCAUUUAAAAUUUGUCAAAAUGAAUAGAAAUUGAUCUUAACUUUGCUCGAUGUAACAAAAUGGUCUCACAUUUACUUCAUUUUAGAUGAGUUGUACCAUAUAUUUUGAGUUUUCGGCCAGUCGAUGUCUAAUGUUGGUUGUUAGAAAAGAUAACAUAUUUCUUAUUGAAACAGUAGUUUAACCCGCAUUUUAAUUUUAAAAAUAAGAAAGGGAAAAAAUUUCAUAACAUUAUCUUUCCCAACCCAUGAAGAACCAAUAGGAUUCCCUGUAGGUCCCCAUGCCAUUGAUUAAUACAAAAAUGAAAAAAAUUUGAAAGAUGUGAGUGACGAUGUCGAUGAAGAGAUUAAAAGGAAGAAGUUAGAAAUAUUGAUUGGGAAUGUGAGAGACGUUUGCAAAUAAGUUGGGGGUAGACAUGUAGCGAGCGUAAGCUAGGUUGCACGUGAUGAGAAGUAACUAGGGCUGGGGUUUGCUAUUUUUAUCUAUUUUCCCGUUUCUUUUUAUUUUUUCUUUUAAUAAUUUUCCAAUGUGAAUUGAAAUUUUCCAUCCACGGCUAUAUUGUUUGUUGACUUUAAAAUCUUGUAGGAUACAGAUAUCAACAUAUACUGGUUACAUUCUCAUCUACCUGUUUCAGAAUCUGAACAUAAGAAAUCGAAGUUUGAAGCCAUCUAAGAAGGUUGUUAGGCACAUUUUACUCUUUGAUGCUCAAAUUAAUGCAAGUAAAAUAUAUAUAAAAUUAAGUUAUUUGUACUUGUUGACUUACACUUUGAUUUACCCGAUCCUACUCCUCCUCUCACAUGGAGUCGGGUUCCACGUGGAGCACCAACCCCCAUGUGAGAGGAGGAGGUUGGAUCGGGUAACUCAAAGUGUAAAAUGACAUGUACAAAUAGUAUGACUCAUAUAUAUAAGUUCAAGAAAAACAAAGUGGACAAAGAAUUUGCAAGAGGUUUGAUUGAUUGAUUUUUUAUAUACCUUUUCUUUUAUGUUCCAUGGAAUUUCAAUAGGAAAAACUAGUUUAAAGGAAAAUUGGGCCUUUAUUGAACACUCACCCCUCCAAAACAACACGUGUCGCUUUCUAAUUGGUGAAGACUUUUGAUUUGGGUACUUUGUCAUCUUUUGAUUAAUGGGGAGGUCUUGAUUCUUGUUUGAUUUUGUUUUACACUUUUUAAUGGUUUUAGUCAACUUGGUAGUCAUCAUCUUGCCACAAGAAAAGCUUCAGUCCCUCGUCAUCUUUUAGUACGUUUGUUGAACCCCCACCCAAAAAUAAAAGGGAAAAAAGAAAAAAAAGAAAAAAAAGAAAAAGAAAACACGUAUUGCCAUCUAAUUGGUAAGGACUUUGAUUUUAGCACCUCGUCAUCUAUUGAUUAAUGGCGAGGUCAUUAUCAAGCAACUGAUUCUUGUUUGAUUUUUUUUUUUUAUACUCUCUAAUGGUUUUAGCCUACUUGGUAGUUAUCCUCUUGCCACAUAGAAAAGCUUCCAUACAACAGUUCUAUAUGUAGAUAUGGUGUGAUCAUCCAUUUUAAAUCACGACGUCUAGAAUUGUGAGCCAUGCAAAAGGUAAUACCUUGACAUUCGAGAUUGUAAGAUAGAAAUAAAGUGAGUGUGUGAUGUCGAUGUGUCAAAUUUUGAAUGACACAAAUUUCAAAGUAUUGUAUUUGAGUGGACGAUCUUACAACAUGUGCAUAUAGGAUUGCCCUACUAAAUCUUCUCUCCUUUCCAUAUGACAAAGGAAUAAUCUGCAAUUCCUUUAUUUAAACAAGCAAAGUGGGUUGUGAGCAUAAACAAAUUCACUUGCUUGCGUCAAAGUAAAUAUACAUUUUGAUCUGAGAGGAAAAAUAUCAAAAAUGUAAUUAUUCAGAUAACUAAUGUAUAAACAUUACAAAUUGAUUUUUUUAGCAUUUAGUUAAUUCAAUUGUCAAGGCUAGAAUAAAAUUUACAAUCUGAGAUCUCAAAAUGAAAUACGAAGAGUUCAACAUGCAGGUUUUUAUUAUUCCAAUCAAAAAGUAACACAAAAAUUAUGCCGGACUAUGCUACACUAACCUAUGGCUUGACAGAGGCCAUGACAAAUCAAGGGGGGAAAUUAUUUUUUUAUUUGUGUGGGAUCCACAGCAUGUGAGACAAUGUCAUCCCUUCUGUUAGAAUUUUUCGGGCAUUCCAGCAUUUUCCAAUUAUGCCAACCCAAUUGCACCUCUCAUUAAAUGAAAAAUAAAUCAUCUUCCAAUCAAUAUUUAACACACGAAUACAAAUUUAUUACUUGUCUUGCAUUUUUGUACAUAACCAAGUGAUCAAUUAAAGUGGCGGGGCAAAUGAAAAAAUGAAGCGUAAGCCAAAUAUAACAUAACUAAACGCCGCCAUACAAAAGAGAUGAAGGGGCUGCUGUUUAUGAGGCGCACCGCAUUGGGUACACCACUGGUUUGACCACCGUUGCAGGUUACCGUACCUCCACCACCACUGCCGCCUCCUCCAUCGCUGGAGCAACUGUAGAACUGAGGAAGAGGCAGAUGAUUGAAAGCACAAGAACUAAUUUUGCGUGCUACAUCUAUUGUUUCUAUUCAGCAAUACCAAGAUUGGAAUUCCCUUAAGAUGGGAAAUGGAACGUUCAAGCUUAGAAUUAAUUACACUUGCAAGAAUAUUCUUGUUUAUAUUUUAUUAUUUUCA
rnacentral:lncRNA from 1 species